UACCCCCAGAAUCAACAUUCUUCCCCCAAAAAUUGAGAAAACCCUAGCCCCUUUUCUCUCCCUCUUAUUUCUCGAUGGAGACCACCGGAGCACGCCACCAUGUACCGCCGUUCACCGGCGUCACUCCCUCACUCCCAAUUUCAUGUCGACAUCUCCAAUCGGGAAGCCUUAAAUCGAAGAGAUUUGGUUGCGCCUUGCCCGUCGGUCGCGCCCGGUUGAUACUCCGUCGCCUACCGCCGUCGUCGCUUCCCUCCUUGGCGUCUCGCGUUGGGCGCCUCCCCUAUCUUCACGGCGUCGUCGACGCGGGGAAUGGACGCCACCUCUUCGGUGGAACUGCCGCCAUCGUCGACCUCACGCUUCACCUCCGGCGGCGCAACAUCUCGGCAAGAGCCAUUCCUCAUCCAAGCUAAGUUCUUGUUACAUUCUUUCUAGUGUGUUUGGUUGAAAAUUGAGAAAUCUCUAUGCUACUGUAACUUGAGUAUUAGGGGACCCCCUUUUUUUUCCUAAAAUUUCUACUAUGGUUGGUUCGAUUGGAGGGUUGGGCAUGUGGUAGAUUGUAACUAACCUUAGGUUUAGACCUAUGCUUUUAAUUUUUGAUUGUGGGGAAGGCCUCGACAUUAACCGGAGGAACUUUGCACAAAGUGAGGUCUCUAUCCUAUGUUAUGUACAACUGCCAAGCUGCUGUCUCCUUCGUGUAAAAGCAGUGGCUCGCUGCUUCUAAAUCUAGUGUUUCUACAUGAGUGAACUUGUUGGCUAAUGGAUGUCUUGUAGUUUAAAGCUACUACUUGUGUACUAAGCAUGUUACCUCUUUUUAAGCAUUCUUUCGUGGAGGUUAACGGUGCUCUCAUAAUCUAACAUGCUGUGAUUUCCUAUUAUAAGGUGUCACUACAUGUUAAUAUGGUUCAUGUUUGAGUUUGGAAAAAGAAGAAGAGGGUGGGGAUACUCUUUAACUCACUAACUUGUAAAUGAUAUGUGGUGGAGAAGGAAGUAAGGCCGAGGAGGUUAUCAUAUAUAUAUGGGUUGUGUAACUGAAAGCCUGCAAGGCUGAUUGUGUGUGCAGGGAAAGGGGUCCUUAUUUUGAUUGUAUGUUGGCUGUUCUCCUGCCAUAAUGAAGGUGACUAAGAUCUGCAAGGAGGUUAAAUGAGCCCUACAGCUGGAGCUCUGCAGAGUGCUGUUGACUAAGAUCUGCAAGGAGGUUAAAUAAGUCUGUGGCCUUUCCUUGGCUCGUAGCGGCUGUUGAGUGCAGGAAAAUGCAGCCCCCCCCCAUCCUCCUAAAUUAGGGAAGGAGGUUUUUUUAGGAGGAUCAACGAUGGUUCCCUAUCUACCCCCGAAGUGACUCGGACCCCCGGCCUAACGGUAGGAGGUGAAGCGUCUUACCACCGAGCUGUGCUUCGUUGUUUGGGUGGGAACAAACGAGUCCACCUACCUCCCCCAAGCACGGGUCCUGGCCGCCCCCCAAACAUGGGUACAGGCUACCUCCCCCAGCUCCUGGGUCCAGGCCAGUGAACCCAUCACCCCCAAGGAAAAUUAAUCACCAAGCUGCGCCUCCCAGGGGUCGAACUCGUGACCUCCAGGAUGGACGCGGUAUCCAGCGCCCUUUGCCACUAGGCCAAGGAGGUUGAUUACAUACGGCUGCCACCUUGACGUCCCGGCCCACCGGGCCGUCUAUAAUCGGGCCGAAACCGGGCCUGAAGAAUGGCCGAAGCUUAGCAUUUUUUUUAAUUGUAAUAGGGUAGUGCUUUUCCAAGCUUUCUUUUCUUUCAACAUGUGCGAAAUAUUUAUAAAGUUAGAAUGUAUUGUUUUCCCUUCAUUUCCAUUAUCGUACGUGUUGUAAGUUAAGACAUAGUUCGGAAAGUAACACGUAUUUUAUUCACUUAAGGAAUAAACGAACACACUUCUAUUUUA